rnacentral:rRNA from 1 species
GACGAACGCUGGCGGCGUGCCUAACACAUGCAAGUCGAACGAAGUGGCGAACGGGUGAGUAAUACGUGGGUAACCUGCCCUCCUUUUUGGGAUAAGCCUUGGAAACGGGGGCUAAUACCGAAUAAAGGGGGAUGGGCUCGCGGCCUUUCAGCUUGUUGGUGGGGAAAUGGCCUACCACGGCGGUGACGGGUAGCCGGCCUGAGAGGGUGGCCGGCCACCGUGGGACGAAGCUACGCCCCAGACUCCUCCGGGAGGAGGCAUUGGGUGAUAUUGCACAAUGGGCGAAGGCUUGACGCGGACAGGCCGCGUGACUGACGAAGGCCUUAGGGUUGUAAAAUGUUUUCGGUCGGGAGGCGGUACCGAAAGAGAAAGCACCGGCUAACUCCGUGCCAGCAGCCGCGGUAAUUC